rnacentral:rRNA from 1 species
UGAAUACGAGACGCUAAGGCGUUGAAGUAGUGUAUGUCAUACUUCCAGAAAAGCUUGCACUGUCAUAGAUAAAAAACGCCUGUACCAUAACCGAUACAGGUGGGUAGGUAGAGUAUACUAAGGGGCGCGAGAUAACUCUCUCUAAGGAACUCGGCAAAAUAACUCCGUAACUUCGGGAGAAGGAGUGCCUUAUUUAUAAGGCUGCAAUAACAAGAUCCAAGCAACUGUUUAUCAAAAACACAGGUCUCCGCUAAGUCGUAAGACGAUGUAUGGGGGCUGACGCCUGCCCAGUGCCAGAAGGUUAAAGAAGUUGGUUAGCAAUAGCGAAGCUGAUAACUGAAGCCCUGGUGAACGGCGGCCGUAACAAUAACGGUCCUAAGGUAGCGAAAUUCCUUGUCGGGUAAGUUCCGACCCGCACGAAAGGCGUAAUGAUUUGGAUACUGUCUCGGAGAGGGGCUCGGUGAAAUAGACUUGUCUGUGAAGAUGCGGACUACCUGCACCAGGACAGAAAGACCCUAUGAAGCUUUACUGUAACUUGAAAUUGAAAUUGGACUUUAUUCGCGCAGUAUAGGUGGGAGGCGUUGAUUGUAAUCUUGCGGGAUUAUUGGAGCCAUCAGUGAGAUACCACCCUUGUAAUGUUAGAUUUCUAACUUUGAAUCAUUAUCUGGUCAAAGAACAGUUUCAGGCGGGCAGUUUGACUGGGGCGGUCGCCUCCUAAACGGUAACGGAGGCGUACAAAGGUUUCCUCUGAACGGUUAGAAAUCGUAUCUAGAGUGUAAAGGCAUAAGGAAGCUUGACUGUGAGACCUACAAGUCGAGCAGGGACGAAAGUCGGUCUUAGUGAUCUGACGGUACUGAGUGGAAAGGCCGUCACUCAACGGAUAAAAGUUACUCUAAGGAUAACAGGCUGAUCUCCCCCAAGAGUUCACAUCGACGGGGAGGUUUGGCACCUCGAUGUCGGCUCAUCGCAUCCUGGGGCGGUAGUACGUCCCAAGGGUUGGGCUGUUCGCCCAUGAAAGCGGUACGCGAGCUGGGUUCAGAACGUCGUGAGACAGUUCGGUCCAUAUCCGGUGUAGGCGUUAGAAUAUUGAGAGGAGCCUUCUUUAGUACGAGAGGACCGAGAAGGACAUACCUCUGGUGUACCAGUUAUCGUGCCAACGGUAAACGCUGGGUAGCUAUGUAUGGAGUGGAUAACCGCUGAAAGCAUCUAAGUGGGAAGCCCACCUCAAGAUAAGUA